rnacentral:rRNA from 1 species
GGCCAGACUCCUACGGGAGGCAGCAGUGGGGGAUAUUGGACAAUGGGGGGAACCCUGAUCCAGCGACGCCGCGUGAGUGAAGAAGUAUCUCGGUAUGUAAAGCUCUAUCAGCAGGGAAGAAAGAAAUGACGGUACCUGACUAAGAAGCACCGGCUAAAUACGUGCCAGCAGCCGCGGUAAUACGUAUGGUGCAAGCGUUAUCCGGAUUUAUUGGGUGUAAAGGGAGCGCAGGCGGCACGCUAAGCCUGAUGUGAAAACCCGCGGCCCAACCGCGGGAGUGCAUUGGGAACUGGCGGGCUGGAGUACCGGAGGGGCAGGCGGAAUUCCUAGUGUAGCGGUGAAAUGCGUAGAUAUUAGGAGGAACACCAGUGGCGAAGGCGGCCUGCUGGACGGAGACUGACGCUGAGGCUCGAAAGCGUGGGGAGCAAACAGGAUUAGAUACCCCAGUA